CAACAGGGUCGAGCGCCUGUAGCCGCCAAA
rnacentral:sRNA from 1 species